AGGGCACCACCAGGAGUGGAGCCUGCGGCUUAAUUUGACUCAACACGGGAAAACUCACCCGGCCCGGACACUGGAAGGAUUGACAGAUUGAGAGCUCUUUCUUGAUUCAGUGGGUGGUGGUGCAUGGCCGUUCUUAGUUGGUGGAGUGAUUUGUCUGGUUAAUUCCGAUAACGAACGAGACUCUAGCCUACUAAAUAGAUAGUCGGCUUACAAACGUCGACUAGACUUCUUAGAGGGACAGGCGGUGAUUCAACCGCACGAAACAGAGCAAUAACAGGUCUGUGAUGCCCUUAAAUGUCCGGGGCCGCACGCGCGCUACACUGAAGUGAUCAGCGUGCUUUUUCAGCCUACUCUGUCAAGAGUGGGAAACCCAAUGAACCUUCUUCGUGAUUGGGAUAGGGGAUUGUAAUUAUUCCCCUUGAACGAGGAAUUCCCAGUAAGCGCGAGUCAUAAGCUCGCGUUGAUUACGUCCCUGCCCUUUGUACACACCGCCCGUCGCUACUACCGAUUGAAUGUUUU
rnacentral:rRNA from 1 species